rnacentral:rRNA from 1 species
UACAGAGGGUGCGAGCGUUAAUCGGAAUUAUUGGGCGUAAAGAGCUCGUAGGCGGUGUGUCGCGUCGGUCGUGAAAACUUGGGGCUUAACCCUGAGCUUGCGGUCGAUACGGGCAUCACUGGAGUUCGGCAGGGGAGACUGGAAUUCCUGGUGUAGCGGUGAAAUGCGCAGAUAUCAGGAGGAACACCGGUGGCGAAGGCGGGUCUCUGGGCCGAUACUGACGCUGAGGAGCGAAAGCGUGGGGAGCGAACAGG